GCCAGGUACUUACUAACUAGCGGGCUGGGUUCUCCCCUAGUGAUAGGCGCCCAGGUACUUACUAACUAGCGGGCUGGGUUCUCCCCUAGUGAUAGGCGCCCAGGUACUUACUAACUAGCAGGCUGGGUUCUCCCCUAGUGAUAGACAGCCAGGUACUUACUAGC